AACGAACGCUGGCGGCAUGCCUAACACAUGCAAGUCGAACGAGACCUUCGGGUCUAGUGGCGCACGGGUGCGUAACGCGUGGGAACCUGCCUUUAGGUUCGGAAUAACUCAGAGAAAUUUGAGCUAAUACCGGAUGAUGUCUUCGGACCAAAGAUUUAUCGCCUUUAGAUGGGCCCGCGUUGGAUUAGCUAGUUGGUGGGGUAAGGCCUACCAAGGCGACGAUCCAUAGCUGGUCUGAGAGGAUGAUCAGCCACACUGGGACUGAGACACGGCCCAGACUCCUACGGGAGGCAGCAGUGGGGAAUAUUGGACAAUGGGCGAAAGCCUGAUCCAGCAAUGCCGCGUGAGUGAUGAAGGCCUUAGGGUUGUAAAGCUCUUUUACCCGAGAUGAUAAUGACAGUAUCGGGAGAAUAAGCUCCGGCUAACUCCGUG
rnacentral:rRNA from 1 species